rnacentral:rRNA from 1 species
AUGGAUCUCCUGAAGAAAGCAGUGGAUAAGAUGACACUUAUACCCACUGUGCAGGAUGGAAUGGGGUUGGAAGACAGAAUUCAGUCAAACAAGGGGAAGAAUAAAGAGCUGACCGCAAUGUGUGCACCUCCCAGCGGAUGUGCAAGCGACACCGAAGGUAGUGCAAUUGGUAAUUUCGUGGGUCUAAAAAGGCUCCAGAACGAAAACGUAAGGCAGUUCGACCAACCAACAGCAGGGACAAGCCUACAUAUGAUGAUCGCGGUGCAAAUAGCAAAAAGUACAAAAAGGCAGCAAAUGCACAAGCUGCCGACCGGUGCGGUACAAGCAAGCGCACUCGCUUUGUAG